UACGAAGGUCCCGAGCGUUGUUCGGAUUUACUGGGCGUAAAGCGUCUGUAGGCGGCGCAGCAAGUCAGAUGUGAAAGCCCGGGGCUCAACCCCGGAACUGCAUCCGAUACUGCUGUGCUGGAGGAUCGGAGGGGAGUCUGGAAUUCACGGUGUAGCAGUGAAAUGCGUAGAUAUCGUGAGGAACACUAGUGGCGAAGGCGAGACUCUGGACGAUUCCUGACGCUGAGAGACGAAGGCCAGGGGAGCAAAA
rnacentral:rRNA from 1 species